rnacentral:rRNA from 1 species
GGGAGGGCCAGCAGUGGGGAAUAUUGGACAAUUGACGCAAGCUUGAUGCAGGCAUGCGCGUGAUGUGAGAAAGGCUUCGGGUUGUAAAGCACUUUCAGUCGUGAGGAAAGGUAGUGUAGUUUAAUAGCUGCAUUUAUUUGACGUUAGCGACAGAAGAAGCACCGGCUAACUCCGUGCCAGCAGCCGCGGUAAUACGGAGGGUGCGAGCGUUAAUCGGAAUUACUGGGCGUAAAGCGCAUGCAGGGUGGUUUGUUAAGUCAGAUGUGAAAGCCCGGGGCUCAACCUCGGAAUUGCAUUUUGAAACUGGCAGACUAGAGUACUGUAGAGGGGGGUAGAAUUUCAGGUGUAGCGGUGAAAUGCGUAGAGAUCUGAAGGAAUACCGGUGGCGAAGGCGGCCCCCUGGACAGAUACUGACACUCAGAUGCGAAAGCGUGGGGAGCAAACAGGAUUAGAUACCCUGGUAGUCCACGCCGUAAACGAUGUCUACUUGGAGGUUGUGGCCUUGAGCCGUGGCUUUCGGAGCUAACGCGUUAAGUAGACCGCCUGGGGAGUACGGUCGCAAGAUUAAAACUCAAAUGAAUUGACGGGGGCCCGCACAAGCGGUGGAGCAUGUGGUUUAAUUCGAUGCAACGCGAAGAACCUUACCUACUCUUGACAUCCAGAGAACUUUCCAGAGAUGGAUUGGUGCCUUCGGGAACUCUGAGACAGGUGCUGCAUGGCUGUCGUCAGCUCGUGUUGUGAAAUGUUGGGUUAAGUCCCGCAACGAGCGCAACCCUUAUCCUUGUUUGCCAGCGAGUAAUGUCGGGAACUCCAGGGAGACUGCCGGUGAUAAACCGGAGGAAGGUGGGGACGACGUCAAGUCAUCAUGGCCCUUACGAGUAGGGCUACACACGUGCUACAAUGGCGCAUACAGAGGGCGGCCAACUUGCGAAAGUGAGCGAAUCCCAAAAAGUGCGUCGUAGUCCGGAUUGGAGUCUGCAACUCGACUCCAUGAAGUCGGAAUCGCUAGUAAUCGUGGAUCAGAAUGCCACGGUGAAUACGUUCCCGGGCCUUGUACACACCGCCCGUCACACCAUGGGAGUGGGCUGCAAAAGAAGUAGGUAGAUAACGUUACAAGGUAACCAUGCUAGACGUUGUCAGA